rnacentral:rRNA from 1 species
CCUACGGGAGGCUGCAGUGAGGAAUCUUGGUCAAUGGGCGCGAGCCUGAACCAGCCAAGUCGCGUGAGGGAUGAAGGUUCUAUGGACCGUAAACCUCUUUUAUAAGGGAAUAAAGUGUGGUAAGUGUCCUAUCUUGUAUGUACCUUAUGAAUAAGGAUCGGCUAACCACGUGCCAGCAGACGCGGUAAUACGGAGGGUCCGAGCGUUAUCCGGUUUGAUUGGGUUUAACGGGUGCGUAGGCGGCCUUUUAAGUCAGCGGUGAAAGUAUGUGGCUCAACCAUAGAAUUGCCUGUGAAACUGGGGGGCUUGAGUAUGUAUGAGGCGGGCGGAAUGCGAGGUGUAGCGGUGAAAUGCUUAGAUA